GACGAACGCUGGCGGCGUGCUUAACACAUGAAAGUCGAGCGGAGCGGCGAACGGGUGAGUAACGCGUGGGUAACUGCCCCCCUCUCGGGGAAAACAGUUGGAAAAGGGGGCUAAUACCGGAUAGUGGGGGAUGGCUCCUGUCCUAUCAGAUUGUUGGUGGGGUAGUGGCCUACCAAGGCGACGACGGGUACCCGGCCUGAGAGGGCGACCGGCCACAUUGUGCUGAGAGACGGCCCAAACUCCUACGGGAGGCAGCAGUGGGGAAUAUUGCACAAUGGGGGAAAGCCUGAUGUAGCAACGCCGCGUGAGUGAUGAAGGUCUUCGGAUCGUAAAACUCUGUUAUUAGGGAAGAAUUAACUGUGCACAUCUUGACGGUACCUAAUCAGAAAGCCCCGGCUAACUACGUGCCAGCCGCCGCGGUAAUUC
rnacentral:rRNA from 1 species